UACAGAGGUCCCGAGCGUUGUUCGGAUUCAUUGGCGUAAAGGGUGCGUAGGCGGCGCGGUAAGUCGGGUGUGAAAUCUUGGAGCUUAACUCCGAAACUGCAUUCGAUACUGCCGUGCUUGAGGACUGGAGAGGAGACUGGAAUUUACGGUGUAGCGGUGAAAUGCGUAGAUAUCGUAAGGAAGACCAGUGGCGAAGGCGGGUCUCUGGACAGUUCCUGACGCUGAGGCACGAAGGCCAGGGGAGCAAACGGG
rnacentral:rRNA from 1 species